CAUGCAAGUCGAGCGGACUUGAUGGGAGCUUGCUCCCUGAUAGUCAGCGGCGGACGGGUGAGUAACACGUGGGCAACCUACCUUUAAGACUGGGAUAACUUCGGGAAACCGGAGCUAAUACCGGAUAACAUAUAAGACCACAUGGUCUUAUAUUAAAAGAUGGCUUCGGCUAUCACUUAUAGAUGGGCCCGCGGCGCAUUAGCUAGUUGGUGAGGUAAUGGCUCACCAAGGCAACGAUGCGUAGCCGACCUGAGAGGGUGAUCGGCCACACUGGGACUGAGACACGGCCCAGACUCCUACGGGAGGCAGCAGUAGGGAAUCUUCCGCAAUGGACGAAAGUCUGACGGAGCAACGCCGCGUGAACGAUGAAGGCUUUCGGGUCGUAAAGUUCUGUUGUUAGGGAAGAACAAGUACCAGAGUAACUGCUGGUACCUUGACGGUACCUAACCAGAAAGCCACGGCUAACUACGUGCCAGCAGCCGCGGUAAUACGUAGGUGGCAAGCGUUAUCCGGAAUUAUUGGGCGUAAAGCGCUCGCAGGCGGUCUUUUAAGUCUGAUGUGAAAGCCCACGGCUCAACCGUGGAGGGUCAUUGGAAACUGGGAGACUUGAGUGCAGAAGAGGAGAGUGGAAUUCCACGUGUAGCGGUGAAAUGCGUAGAGAUGUGGAGGAACACCAGUGGCGAAGGCGACUCUCUGGUCUGUAACUGACGCUNA
rnacentral:rRNA from 1 species